rnacentral:rRNA from 1 species
GACGAACGCUGCGGCGUGCUUAACACAUGCAAGUCGAACGGGAACCUUUAUUUCGGUAAAGGUGAGAGUGGAAACGGGUGAGUAACACGUAGGCAACCUGCCGACAGGAUGGGGACAACAUUCCGAAAGGAAUGCUAAUACCGAAUAAAGUCACCGGAGGGCAUCCUCUGGUGAUGAAAGAUGGCCUCUGAAUAUGCUAUCACCUGUCGAUGGGCCUGCGUCUGAUUAGCCAGUUGGCGGGGUAACGGCCCACCAAAGCGACGAUCAGUAGCCGGUCUGAGAGGAUGAACGGCCACAUUGGGACUGAGACACGGCCCAGACUCCUACGGGAGGCAGCAGUGGGGAAUCUUCCACAAUGGGCGAAAGCCUGAUGGAGCAACGCCGCGUGAGUGAAGAAGGUCUUCGGAUCGUAAAGCUCUGUUGCACGGGACGAAAACCGAGCUUGAGAAUAUUGAGUUUGGGUG